GUCAGGACUCAGGGCAGAAGGAACAACAUUCCCAUCACUGUUCACAAAAAGCCAAAGCACGCGCUGCCAAAACGCCGCCGUGCAGGCUGCAGCAGCGCCUACUGCUGCGCUGCUUUUUUUUUAUUGGUCUUCACUUCACCGGCGGGAGAACUACCUUUACAAUGCCAUACGACUCUCUGCUCUCUAUUCUACAUGCCAUACACGAAACAGCAAGAGCUAAGAACAAAAUCUACAAAAAAGAAAAAAAAACUGUACACACGAGCAACGCCUACUAGCGGCGUCGACCAUAUGGCCGGGCCACCUUGG
rnacentral:misc_RNA from 1 species